AAUCUGGUUGAUCCUGCCAGCGAACGUAUGCUUCUCUCAAGGGCUAAGCCAUGCACGCGUGAGAGCAAGUUGUGCGCUUACUGCCAAACCUGUCUGCGAAUGGUUCAUUGGACCAGCGGUAUUCUCUGCAGGGAGUGCGUGCAUCCCUCUCUCUACGGGAGGGUAAGGAGAUCGUGCGCUUUCCUUUCUCCUCGGAGAGAGCGUUAGCUUCUGCUCCUGUGAACAAGCAGUGGACACCCUCUUUUUCUGAAACAGUUGGCUAAUACCUGUGCGAAGGCGUGUCGUGUACUCCCAUCCAUCGCCCCGAGGGGAUGCGAGGGGAUGCACUGGGCUGACACAAAGAGGGACCUUGCCGCCCUUAAAUGGGCCAAUCUCCCAAGGUGGAACCAAGCCAACUGUGGAGGAUCUAGAGGUGUGUUCACGGAUAACCGCCUUCUAUGAAGGCUGGUUGUGUUCCCCUCCAUGAGAGAAGGAUGCCGCUCUCCCAAGAUGGUGCGCUAGUGGGUUUCUGCUUCAGGAUAUGCCCACUACCCUGCAUGAGUUUCUGACCUAUCAGCCUCUCACUGCGGUCCAUUGGACACUAUGGCGAUGACGGGUACGCGGAAUGAGGGUUCGAUUCCGGAAAGGGAGCCUGAAAUACGACUACUACGACCAAGGUUGGCAGCAGGCGCGCAAAUUGCUCAAUAUCGAUAUGCAUGGUGAAGCAGCGACGAGACAUGGUACCUCCGUCGGUCAAAUGACCUUCGCUGGAGGAAUGAAAGACGACUCAGGAAAUGCUAUGAGCAUCCACUUGUGGGCUAGUCUGGUGCCAGCAGCCGCGGUAAUUCCAGCACAAGUUGCAUACUUUGACGUUGUUGCCGUUAAAAAGCUCGUAGUUGGUUGGCAUCCGGGGGAGCUUCCGGCGGUGCCUCAGGCCAAAAACCUGACGGUGCCAAUGGCGGUGAACCUGUGGUGUCCGCUCAACCUUCAGGACCUCCUUCUCGGCUGACACGCGACAGGCAGCACAAACCCCUCGGGGCGAGUGUAUCUGCCACGCGAGCUUCGCCUCCCUUCGGGGUCUAGGCAAGGGUCAACUCAGCCUUGAGGUUGAGGUCUUGGGGGUCUGAGCUUCUCAGUGGGAGCGAUUUUCCGAAGUGGAGAAAGGCAGGACUGGUUCCGCGUACUCUCCUGACUUGAGCUUUUCAGCACUCGCUGGGUUUGUACUGCCAAUGCCGCUGCCUUUUCUCAAAGUCCUGCUUACGAAGCGUGAUGAUAUGGCCUGCAUCCUGAAAGCGAAAUGCCGCAGACUGGCCUCUGAUGGUACCAACAAUGGGUUUAUGGGGAGCAGGCGGAGAGAGGGGAUGGGGAGGCGAAUAUUGUACUAUCCCUUCGGGGACUGGUGCGACACCGCCCGUCCCCUCUCUCUUAGCGGACCUCCCUUUGCCCGGCGGCGGCUACUCUCAAGGCUAGAAGGAGAUGCCCUCUGAUAUUGUACCAUGAGCAAAGCUAAGCGCUUCAUGCAAGUUGUCCUAUCUGCCGAUCGGAUGUUCAAGCGUGGCAUAACAAGGGACCUGUCCAUUGGACCAACGUUCUGUCACUCUUUACUGGCCCGCUAUGGACGAACUUCGCUUCCCCUUGGUACGGCUCGGUAUGGACUCUGGCGGCCGCUGUUACCUCUGGGCAGUCCCGGCACCGGGGAGGGGUUUAACUCCUCCCGUCUGGAGCCUCUCCCAUUGGUAGCAAACGCAGGGCUUGAGACCUCGAGUUUGGACUGGGGAACGAGGUGAUGAAAGAGGUCGUUUCGGUGCUCAGGGGACUGGACGGCGAGCGGUGAAAUGCUUUGACCCGUCUCAGGACCACCAAAGGCGAAAGCACUGAGCAGGACUCGACCUGUCAAUCAAGAGCGAGUGUGCGGUGAUCGAAGAGGAUCAGAUACCCUCGUAGUCCGCGCUGUAAACCCUGCCUACCGAGGAUGCGGGUUGCGUUCCUUCGGAAUGUCAGCCCGUGUCCUUCCCCCGCAACGAGAAAUCCAAGUGUAUGGGUUCAGGGGGGAGUACGGUUGCAAGACUGAAACUUAAAGGAAUUGACGGAAUGGCACCACAAGGCGUGGAGUGUGCGGCUUAAUUUGACUCAACACGGGAAACGUUACCUGGAUAGCACGUGGGAAGGAUGUGACAGGCUGAAGCACUCUCUCGAUGACUCGGAAAGUGGUGCAUGGUCGUUCCUGGUUGGUGAAGUGAUUUGUCUGGUUGAUUCCGAUAACGAGCGGGGUCUUCACCUUCCAGUAGCCGGGCGCUCUCGCUCGCAGUAGGACCCUGGGGUUUCCCUCAAAAGGGGUGUGCCCGGUCCGAGAGUGGCGCACUGGUUGCUUCUCAGUGGGUUCAGGCACUUCGUCUCUGAAUAAGUGUCUACAACCGGAAGCCGACAGCAGGUCUGUGAUGCCCUUAGAUGCCCAGGGCUGCACGCGCACGACAAUGCUGUCGUGAGCGUGUGGAAUUCCCCUGUGGCAUGGCGAUUUCCGGAAAGGGAGGGGUUGAAGCUUGCUUCGGCCUCGACCCGGACUGGACUUCGCCACCCCGCAGCUAUCCAAGGUGAACCCGUGGUUUGAUGAUGGACUGGGAAAUCCCCAAAGCUGCUCAGAGACGUGAUUAGGGCUCGGUGCUUGCCACUGUUCUCCUUCAACGAGGAAUGCCCAGUAAGUGCGGGUCAACAGCCCGCACUGACUGCGUCCCUGCCAUUUGUACACACCGCCCGUCGUUGCUACCGAUGGCGUUGGGAUAAAGACCUGAGGAGCCCAGUAGUGAUGCGCCGCCAGGGCUUCGGGUCUAGUGCAUGCUCAAGAACGGCGAAUUCGGUCAAUAUCUCAUUGCUGGAGGAAGCAAAAGUCGUAACAAGGUUGCUGUAGGUGAACCUGCAGAAGGAUCA
rnacentral:rRNA from 1 species